rnacentral:rRNA from 1 species
UACGAAGGGGGUUAGCGUUGCUCGGAAUCACUGGGCGUAAAGCGCACGUAGGCGGCUUCUUAAGUCAGGGGUGAAAUCCUGGAGCUCAACUCCAGAACUGCCUUUGAUACUGAGGAGCUUGAGUCCGGGAGAGGUGAGUGGAAUUGCGAGUGUAGAGGUGAAAUUCGUAGAUAUUCGCAAGAACACCAGUGGCGAAGGCGGCUCACUGGCCCGGUACUGACGCUGAGGUGAGAAAGCGUGGGGAGCAAACAGG